UAUCCCCAGAAAAUGGGCCUCAAAGAGCUCAGAAGAGAUAGGCCAAAGGAGGAGCCCAGAUAGGGCCGCUGUCCUGGAGAGCCAGCUUGGUGGUCUCCUGUGAGAGCUAAGAACAUGAUGUCUGUCCUGGGUACACUGCAGUUGGGUCUGUAGGAGGCAGCGGCCCUGAGUCAAGACAGUCACCCUGCUGUGCAUGACAAAGGAACCAGCUGUGUUCACAGAACAGGCUGCAGUGAACCUCAUCCUUGUUCCUGGCUGCCUGAGCUUGUGGCUUGGAAUCCUGUGGUUGAAGGCAGGCUUAAGGAGACCUGGGUCCUGGCCCCAGUCUUGUGUCUAAAUUUUUCUGUGAUGCCAACCUGCAGUCUUCCUGUGUAUUGAACUGCAAGGAUGACUCUCUUACUGUG
rnacentral:lncRNA from 1 species